UCAUGAAACACCAAGGGCAUCAAGUUGUUGGACAGUGACCAGGAGUUGUAUAAGAACUUCCCGCUGGUCAUCUCAGAGCGCUGGCAGCAGGAGGUGGCUGAGACGGUGUACGAGGCGGUCAACUCCGACACGGACAAGAACGAGGCCCGCAAGAGGGCCAAGAACAAACAGCUGGGCCACGAGGAGGACUAUGCCCUGGGGAAGGACUGUAUAAUGCACGGCUACAUGUUAAAGCUGGGGAACCCGUUCCUGACGCAGUGGCAGCGCCGAUACUUCUACCUGUUCCCCAACCGAGUGGAGUGGAGGGGAGAGGGGGAGUCACGGGUGAGCAACACACACCUC